rnacentral:rRNA from 1 species
UGAGUACGAGAUGCUACGGCAUCGAAGCAGUCUAUGUCAUACUUCCAAGAAAAGCUUGCACUGUCAUAAACAAAGAAUGCCUGUACCAUAACCGACACAGGUGGGUAGGUAGAGUAUACUAAGGGGCGCGAGAUAACUCUCUCUAAGGAACUCGGCAAAAUGACUCCGUAACUUCGGGAGAAGGAGUGCCUUAUUUCUAAGGUUGCAAUAACAAGAUCCAAGCAACUGUUUACCAAAAACACAGGUCUCCGCUAAGUCGUAAGACGAUGUAUGGGGGCUGACGCCUGCCCAGUGCCAGAAGGUUAAAGAAGUUGGUUAGCAUUAGCGAAGCUGAUAACUGAAGCCCUGGUGAACGGCGGCCGUAACCAUAACGGUCCUAAGGUAGCGAAAUUCCUUGUCGGGUAAGUUCCGACCCGCACGAAAGGCGUAAUGAUUUGGAUACUGUCUCGGAGAGGGGCUCGGUGAAAUAGACUUGUCUGUGAAGAUGCGGACUACCUGCACCUGGACAGAAAGACCCUAUGAAGCUUUACUGUAACUUGAGAUUGAAAUUGGACUUUAUUUGCGCAGUAUAGGUGGGAGGCGUUGAGAAUAAUCUUGCGGGAUUGUUGGAGCCAUCAGUGAGAUACCACUCUUGUGAUGUUAGAUUUCUAACUUUGUAUCAUUAUCUGGUCAAAGAACAGUUUCAGGCGGGCAGUUUGACUGGGGCGGUCGCCUCCCGAAGGGUAACGGAGGCGCACAAAGGUUUCCUCUGAACGGGUAGAAAUCGUAUCUAGAGUGUAAAGGCAUAAGGAAGCUUGACUGUGAGACCUACAAGUCGAGCAGGGACGAAAGUCGGUCUUAGUGAUCUGACGGUGCUGAGUGGAAAGGCCGUCACUCAACGGAUAAAAGUUACUCUAGGAUAACAGGCUGAUCUCCCCCAAGAGUUCACAUCGACGGGGAGGUUUGGCACCUCGAUGUCGGCUCAUCGCAUCCUGGGGCGGUAGUCCGUCCCAAGGGUUGGGCUGUUCGCCCAUGAAAGCGGUACGCGAGCUGGGUUCAGAACGUCGUGAGACAGUUCGGUCCAUAUCCGGUGUAGGCGUUAGAAUAUUGAGAGGAGCCUUCUCUAGUACGAGAGGACCGAGAAGGACAUACCUCUGGUGUACCAGUUAUCGUGCCAACGGUAAACGCUGGGUAGCUAUGUAUGGAGUGGAUAACCGCUGAAAGCAUCUAAGUGGGAAGCCCACCUCAAGAUAAGUAUUC